rnacentral:piRNA from 1 species
UAAUGAUCACUUCUGAUGUUGCAC